rnacentral:rRNA from 1 species
ACUCAAAUGAAUUGACGGGGGCCCGCACAAGCGGUGGAAGAUGUGGUUUAAUUCGAUGCUACGCGAAAAACCUUACCUACCCUUGAAAUCCUAGGAAUCUUCUAGAGAUGGAAGAGUGCCUUCGGGAGCCUGGAGACAGGUGCUGCAUGGCUGUCGUCAGCUCGUGUCGUGAGAUGUUGGGUUGAGUCCCGUAACGAGCGCAACCCUUAUCUUUAGUUGCCAACAGUUCGGCUGGGAACUCUAAAGAAACUGCCGGCGUUAAGCCGGAGGAAGGAGAGGACGAGGUCAAGUCAUCAUGGCCCUUAUGGGUAGGGCAACACACGUCUUACAAUGGUAAGUACAGAGGGUCGCCAAGUCGCGAGACGGAGCUAAUCUCAGAAAACUUAUCGUAGUCCGGAUUGAAGUCUGCAACUCGACUUCAUGAAGUUGGAAUCGCUAGUAAUCGCGAAUCAGCAUGUUGCGGUGAAUACGUUCUCGGGCCUUGCACACACCGCCCGU